GAUGAACGCUGGCGGCGUGCCUAAUACAUGCAAGUCGAGCGAACAGAUGAGGAGCUUGCUCCUCUGACGUUAGCGGCGGACGGGUGAGUAACACGUGGAUAACCUACCUAUAAGACUGGGAUAACUUCGGGAAACCGGAGCUAAUAACGGAUAAUAUAUUGAACCGCAUGGUUCAAUAGUGAAAGACGGUUUUGCUGUCACUUAUAGAUGGAUCCGCGCCGCAUUAGCUAGUUGGUAAGGUAACGGCUUACCAAGGCAACGAUGCGUAGCCGACCUGGGAGGGUGAUCGGCCACACGGGAACGGAAACGCGGUCCAGACUCCUACGAGAGGCAGCAGUAUGGAAUCUUCCGCAAUGGGCGAAAGCCUGACAGAGCAACGCCGCGUGAGUGAUGAAGAUCUUCGGAUCGUAAAGCUCUGUUAUUAGGGAAAAACAAAUGUGUAAGGAGCUAUGCACGUCUUGACGGUACCUAAUCAGAAAGCCACGGCUAACUACGUG
rnacentral:rRNA from 1 species